GAACGCUGGCGGCGCGCUUAACACAUGCAAGUCGAGCGAUGAAACUUUAACAGAACCCUUCGGGGCGAAGAUAAAGUGGAUUAGCGGCGGACGGGUGAGUAACACGUGAGUAACCUGCCUUAGACAUUGGGAUAGCCUCGGGAAACCGGGAUUAAUACCAAAUAAAAUCAUAAUGACACAUGUCAUAACGAUCAAAACUCCGGUGGUCUAAGAUGGACUCGCGUCCCAUUAGCUAGUUGGUAGAGUAAAAGCCUACCAAGGCGACGAUGGGUAGCCGGCCUGAGAGGGUGAACGGCCACAUUGGAACUGAGAAACGGUCCAAACUCCUACGGGAGGCAGCAGUGGGGAAUAUUGCACAAUGGAGGGAACUCUGAUGCAGCGACGCCGCGUGAACGAAGAAGGCUUUCGAGUCGUAAAGUUCUUUUAUAUGGGAAGAUAAUGACGGUACCAUAUGAAAAAGCCCCGGCUAACUACGUGCCAGCAGCCGCGGUAAUACGUAGGGGGCUAGCGUUGUCCGGAAUCACUGGGCGUAAAGGGUUCGCAGGCGGAAAUGCAAGUCAGAUGUAAAAGGCAGUAGCUUAACUACUGUAAGCAUUUGAAACUGCAUAUCUUGAGAAGAGUAGAGGUAAGUGGAAUUUUUAGUGUAGCGGUGAAAUGCGUAGAUAUUAAAAAGAAUACCGGUGGCGAAGGCGACUUACUGGGCUCAUUCUGACGCUGAGGAACGAAAGCGUGG
rnacentral:rRNA from 2 species